UACGGAGGGUGCAAGCGUUAAUCGGAAUUACUGGGCGUAAAGCGCGCGUAGGCGGCUUGUUAAGUCGGAUGUGAAAUACCCGGGCUCGAACCUGGGAACUGCAUUCGAUACUAGGCUGGCUAGAGUGUGGUAGAGGGAAGUGGAAUUCCAGGUGUAGCGGUGAAAUGCGUAGAUAUCUGGGGGAACAUCAGUGGCGAAGGCGGCUUCCUGGACCAACACUGACGCUGAGGCGCGAAAAGCGUGGGGGAGCAAAACAGGAUUAGAAACCC
rnacentral:rRNA from 1 species